rnacentral:rRNA from 1 species
GUGGGGAAUCUUAGACAAUGGGCGCAAGCCUGAUCUAGCCAUGCCGCGUGAGUGAUGAAGGCCCUAGGGUUGUAAAGCUCUUUCAGCUGGGAAGAUAAUGACGGUACCAGCAGAAGAAGCCCCGGCUAACUCCGUGCCAGCAGCCGCGGUAAUACGGAGGGGGCUAGCGUUGUUCGGAAUUACUGGGCGUGAAGCGCGCGUAGGCGGACUGAAAAGUUGGGGGUGAAAUCCCGGGGCUCAACCUCGGAACUGCCUUCAAAACUAUCAGUCUGGAGUUCGAGAGAGGGGAGUGGAAUUCCGAGUGUAGAGGUGAAAUUCGUAGAUAUUCGGAGGAACACCAGUGGCGAAGGCGACUGACUGGACAAGUAUUGACGCUGAGGUGCGAAAGCGUGGGGAGCAAACAGGAUUAGAAACCCUGGUAGUCC